rnacentral:rRNA from 1 species
CUAAGAAUAUUCCGCAAUGGAGGAAACUCUGACGGAGCGACGCCGCGUGGAUGAUGAAGGUCGGAAGAUUGUAAAAAUCCUUUUAUGACUGAGGAAUAAGCUGGGUGAGAGAAACGCCUGGUGGUGACUGUAGGUCAUGAAUAAGCAACGGCUAAUUACGUGCCAGCAGCCGCGGUAACACGUAAGUUGCGAGCGUUGUUCGGAAUUAUUGGGCGUAAAGGGCAUGUAGGCGGUAUUGCAAGCCUGGUGUGAAAGGCAGGGGCUCAACCUCUGGACUGCGCUGGGAACUGCGAUACUAGAGUCGCUGAGGGGC